rnacentral:rRNA from 1 species
UUAAAUUGAAGAGUUUGAUCAUGGCUCAGAUUGAACGCUGGCGGCAGGCCUAACACAUGCAAGUCGAACGGUAACAGGAAGCAGCUUGCUGCUUUGCUGACGAGUGGCGGACGGGUGAGUAAUGUCUGGGAAACUGCCUGAUGGAGGGGGAUAACUACUGGAAACGGUGGCUAAUACCGCAUAAUGUCGCAAGACCAAAGAGGGGGACCUUCGGGCCUCUUGCCAUCAGAUGUGCCCAGAUGGGAUUAGCUUGUUGGUGAGGUAACGGCUCACCAAGGCGACGAUCCCUAGCUGGUCUGAGAGGAUGACCAGCCACACUGGAACUGAGACACGGUCCAGACUCCUACGGGAGGCAGCAGUGGGGAAUAUUGCACAAUGGGCGCAAGCCUGAUGCAGCCAUGCCGCGUGUAUGAAGAAGGCCUUCGGGUUGUAAAGUACUUUCAGCGGGGAGGAAGGUGUUGUGGUUAAUAACCACAGCAAUUGACGUUACCCGCAGAAGAAGCACCGGCUAACUCCGUGCCAGCAGCCGCGGUAAUACGGAGGGUGCAAGCGUUAAUCGGAAUUACUGGGCGUAAAGCGCACGCAGGCGGUCUGUCAAGUCGGAUGUGAAAUCCCCGGGCUCAACCUGGGAACUGCAUUCGAAACUGGCAGGCUUGAGUCUUGUAGAGGGGGGUAGAAUUCCAGGUGUAGCGGUGAAAUGCGUAGAGAUCUGGAGGAAUACCGGUGGCGAAGGCGGCCCCCUGGACAAAGACUGACGCUCAGGUGCGAAAGCGUGGGGAGCAAACAGGAUUAGAUACCCUGGUAGUCCACGCCGUAAACGAUGUCUACUUGGAGGUUGUGCCCUUGAGGCGUGGCUUCCGGAGCUAACGCGUUAAGUAGACCGCCUGGGGAGUACGGCCGCAAGGUUAAAACUCAAAUGAAUUGACGGGGGCCCGCACAAGCGGUGGAGCAUGUGGUUUAAUUCGAUGCAACGCGAAGAACCUUACCUGGUCUUGACAUCCACAGAACUUUCCAGAGAUGGAUUGGUGCCUUCGGGAACUGUGAGACAGGUGCUGCAUGGCUGUCGUCAGCUCGUGUUGUGAAAUGUUGGGUUAAGUCCCGCAACGAGCGCAACCCUUAUCCUUUGUUGCCAGCGGUCCGGCCGGGAACUCAAAGGAGACUGCCAGUGAUAAACUGGAGGAAGGUGGGGAUGACGUCAAGUCAUCAUGGCCCUUACGACCAGGGCUACACACGUGCUACAAUGGCGCAUACAAAGAGAAGCGACCUCGCGAGAGCAAGCGGACCUCAUAAAGUGCGUCGUAGUCCGGAUUGGAGUCUGCAACUCGACUCCAUGAAGUCGGAAUCGCUAGUAAUCGUGGAUCAGAAUGCCACGGUGAAUACGUUCCCGGGCCUUGUACACACCGCCCGUCACACCAUGGGAGUGGGUUGCAAAAGAAGUAGGUAGCUUAACCUUCGGGAGGGCGCUUACCACUUUGUGAUUCAUGACUGGGGUGAAGUCGUAACAAGGUAACCGUAGGGGAACCUGCGGUUGGAUCACCUCCUUACCUUAAAGAA